UUUAUGAAAUCAAAUUGAAGUUCAAUAAGUUUUAUAAACGAAAUUAAAAUUCAAUGACCUUUAUGAAAAUAUUAAUAAAAUCAAGUGAUUACGUGUGAUAAUCACUCGAAAAGGUACAGCUUAAGUGUUGUACAUGAUAGAAUAACUUAUGAGAGAGUUCAAAUUAUAAGCUCAAGUCUAUAACAGAAGCAACACUUACCGGAAAAAUGGCAGGGAAAACAAAAACCUUCAAUGAACAAUAGAAUUCAAGUUGAUUUGGAUGUGCUACGAUUACAAAAUUGUCCUUUAUCUCAUGUAAUUUUUUUUUUUGUUUAUAGGACUUGGGCUUUCUGUCUUUUUAUUUGCCAAUUCUUUGUCUUAUCUACUCUUUCUAUCAUGGUUUAAAAUCAUGAUUGCAGAUAACAGAAAUAAGCCUGUAUCAACCGUAACAUAACAAAAAUAGGCCUGUAACAACCGUAAUGUAACGGUAACGG
rnacentral:misc_RNA from 1 species